rnacentral:miRNA from 1 species
UACAUGUAGAGACCACCAAAC